AUAUCAGAGAAAGCCAGAUGUAUGUCAGGCAAAAAACUACACGUGAUAAUAGUAAAUUACUGGGAUUUCAAACUAUCUGGUCCUGCUUCACAAGGGAAUGCAUAUGCUCACGUAAAGGGAGAAAGGUGUCUAAAGUUAGAGGAAGAAGGUGAGGGAAUGUGGUAUAAGCCAAAACAUCUACAUCAACUUAACCUUGCCACUGUGGAGCUUGAGAGCAGGUGUAUGGAGUGGAUCCCACUCCACGAAGCAUCCAUGUGUUGGGGAGCACAUCCAUUCAACCUUUCACCACGCGGACCUCAAGUCAGCAGGGAGGAGAGCAUACAGGUGCCUUUGCAGCUGAUCUAACCCAUAGGCGUGGGUUGAG
ensembl:lncRNA